rnacentral:lncRNA from 1 species
AGGGGACGCUGUCUGAGGUGACCUCGGGGACCGAGCCAACUGGAAAGUCCACGAUGUUGGAGUAUGGCAUGUUUCUUUUUUGCACACUCUUGUUCCUCACUGUCUGCAUGACUUCACAUCAGAGAGGCUGACAAGAGUAGGCAUAGUCGCCCUUAGCUGUCUAUCAUGAUAAACCUGAUCAUGUCGGGAUGUCUGCGCGGCUCAGUCGGUUAAGCGUCUGCCUUCGGCUCAGGCCUCCGGCUUCACCUUGAUCCUGAAAGAUAGCCAGUGCGGUCCCCUCACAGUGCUGUGUCCCUCCGUGUGGUCCACCUCCCCCGCCUCCAGGCCGGCACCGGCUCCGUCCCUGCCACCGCACCACUGCUGUAUUGUCAGCAGCAACACUGCGCCCAGCACGCCCAGCUGGUGAGCUGAUGA